UAGAUUUUUUGUUUUCUUUU
rnacentral:miRNA from 1 species